AUUGAACGCUGGCGGCAUGCCUUACACAUGCAAGUCGAACGGCAGCACGGGUGCUUGCACCUGGUGGCGAGUGGCGAACGGGUGAGUAAUACAUCGGAACAUGUCCUGUAGUGGGGGAUAGCCCGGCGAAAGCCGGAUUAAUACCGCAUACGAUCUACGGAUGAAAGCGGGGGACCUUCGGGCCUCGCGCUAUAGGGUUGGCCGAUGGCUGAUUAGCUAGUUGGUGGGGUAAAGGCCUACCAAGGCGACGAUCAGUAGCUGGUCUGAGAGGACGACCGGCCACACUGGAACUGGGACACGGCCCAGACUCCUACGGGAGGCAGCAGUGGGGAAUUUUGGACAAUGGGCGAAAGCCUGAUCCAGCAAUGCCGCGUGUGUGAAGAAGGCCUUCGGGUUGUAAAGCACUUUUGUCCGGAAAGAAAUCCUUGGCUCUAAUACAGUCGGGGGAUGACGGUACCGGAAGAAUAAGCACCGGCUAACUACGUG
rnacentral:rRNA from 1 species